rnacentral:rRNA from 1 species
UACGGAGGGUGCAAGCGUUAUCCGGAUUCACUGGGUUUAAAGGGUGCGUAGGUGGAGUGGUAAGUCAGUGGUGAAAUCUCCAAGCUUAACUUGGAAACUGCCGUUGAUACUAUCAUUCUUGAAUAUCGUGGAGGUAAGCGGAAUAUGUCAUGUAGCGGUGAAAUGCUUAGAUAUGACAUAGAACACCGAUUGCGAAGGCAGCUUACUACACGAUCAUUGACACUGAGGCACGAAAGCGUGGGGAUCAAACAGG